rnacentral:lncRNA from 1 species
CGGAUUUGAAGUCUGGGAAAUUAGUGAAUCCCUCCUUGGCAUACAAGUCUUACUGGAAAACUUCGGAAAGUAUAACAAACAACAAAGAAAAGUUGUAUUAAUCAAGUUUUCAGUGGGACUAUGAAAUUCUAUCAAUUUAAAGAGUUUCAAUGAUAUGCGACAUUGAAUAGAGCGGUUUAGAGUGUAAUGGUUUAUCAUCAGAGGUGAGAGUUAAGCGAUGAAGUGGGAGAACCCUAGGCCCUAGCUCAGAGACGGUGAAAAAGAAUAGACGAUUAGGAGGCUUCUU